GACGAACGCUGGCGGCGUGCUUAACACAUGCAAGUCGAACGGAAAGGCCCUGCUUUUGUGGGGUGCUCGAGUGGCGAACGGGUGAGUAACACGUGAGUAACCUGCCCUUGACUUUGGGAUAACUUCAGGAAACUGGGCUUAAUACCGGAUAGGAGCUCCUCUUCCAGGGUGGGGGUUGGAAAUUUUCGGCGGUUGGGGAUGGACUCGCGGCUUAUCAGCUUGUUGGUGGGGUAGUGGCUUACCAAGGCUUUGACGGGUAGCCGGCCUGAGAGGGUGACCGGCCACAUUGGGACUGAGAUACGGCCCAGACUCCUACGGGAGGCAGCAGUGGGGAAUAUUGCACAAUGGGCGGAAGCCUGAUGCAGCAACGCCGCGUGCGGGAUGACGGCCUUCGGGUUGUAAACCGCUUUCGCCUGUGACGAAGCGUGAGUGACGGUAAUGGGUAAAGAAGCACCGGCUAACUACGUG
rnacentral:rRNA from 1 species